GUUUGUCAGUCAGCAAGUGACUUUUGUAACUUUUAAAUUUAUUUUAUUUACUAAAAUUAGAAGAUUCUGUUGAGAAUCUAAAAAAAUUAGAACAUUCAAUGGGGUUUAUAUUUCAACAACUUAAAAAUUUAGAAAAUUCCAUUGGUAAGCAAAGUACACUUAUGUUUCUUUUUGUUUAAUUUUAACACACAUUUUUUGAUGUUUGUGUGCGGUUUUAUCACUCUAAAAUAAACUGUUUAAUUGAUUAGUAUAUGUUUAUAU